UCCCUGCUGGCUCAGACGGUAAAGCGUAUGCCCGCAAUGCGGGAGACCCGGGUUCGAUUCCUGGGUCGGGAA
rnacentral:tRNA from 1 species